UACGUAGGGCGCAAGCGUUGUCCGGAAUUAUUGGGCGUAAAGAGCUCGUAGGCGGUCCGUCACGUCUGCCGUGAAAACCCGGGGCUCAACUCCGGGCCUGCAGCCGAUACGGGCAGACUAGAGUUCGGCAGGGGAGAAUGGAAUUCCUGGUGUAGCGGUGAAAUGCGCAGAUAUCAGGAGGAACACCGGUGGCGAAGGCGGCCAUCUGGACGACUACUGACGCUGAGGCGCGAAAGCGUGGGGAUCAAACAGG
rnacentral:rRNA from 1 species